CCUAGCGUCUUCCUUUGAGUAUCUAUACGUAAAAUUCAAUUAUUAUGAUUUUGAUGAAUUAAAUAUAUUGAAUUUUACGUAUAGAUACUCAAAGGAAGACGCUAGG
rnacentral:pre_miRNA from 1 species